UACGGAGGGAGCUAGCGUUGUUCGGAAUUACUGGGCGUAAAGCGCACGUAGGCGGCUUUUCAAGUCAGGGGUGAAAUCCCGGGGCUCAACCCCGGAACUGCCCUUGAAACUGCUAAGCUAGAAUCUUGGAGAGGCGAGUGGAAUUCCGAGUGUAGAGGUGAAAUUCGUAGAUAUUCGGAAGAACACCAGUGACGAAGGCGACUGACUGGACAGAUAUUGACGCUGAGGUGCGAAAGCGUGGGGAGCAAACAGG
rnacentral:rRNA from 1 species